rnacentral:rRNA from 1 species
UACGUAGGGUGCAAGCGUUAAUCGGAAUUACUGGGCGUAAAGCGUGCGCAGGCGGUUUUGUAAGUCUGUCGUGAAAUCCCCGAGCUUAACUUGGGAAUUGCGCUCGAAACUACGUGGCUCGAGUGUGGCAGAGGAAGGUGGAAUUCCACGUGUAGCGGUGAAAUGCGUAGAGAUGUGGAGGAACACCGAUGGCGAAGGCAGCCUUCUGGGCCAACACUGACACUCAUGCACGAAAGCGUGGGGAGCAAACAGG